rnacentral:rRNA from 1 species
GACAGAGGGUGCAAACGUUGCUCGGAAUUACUGGGCGUAAAGCGCGUGUAGGCGGACUUGCAAGUCAGAUGUGAAAUCCCCGAGCUCAACUCGGGAACUGCAUUUGAAACUGCCUGUCUUGAGUAGUGGAGAGGAAAGCAGAAUUCCUGGUGUAGAGGUGAAAUUCGUAGAUAUCAGGAGGAACACCGGUGGACGAAGGCGGCUUUCUGGACAC